CUGCUUCUGGGUCGGGGUUUCGUA
rnacentral:piRNA from 4 species